GGAUCAGGUAGGGAUACCCGCUGAACUUAAGCAUAUCAAUAAGCGGAGGAAAAGAAACCANCAGGGAUUGCCUCAGUAACGGCGAGUGAAGCGGCAACAGCUCAAAUUUGAAAUCUGGCUCUUUUAGGGUCCGAGUUGUAAUUUGUAGAAGAUGCUUUGAGCGUGGCUCCGGUCUAAGUUCCUUGGAACAGGACGUCAUAGAGGGUGAGAAUCCCGUAUGUGACUGGGUGCCUUCGUUCGUGUAAAGCUCUUUCGACGAGUCGAGUUGUUUGGGAAUGCAGCUCAAAGUGGGUGGUAAAUUUCAUCUAAAGCUAAAUAUUGGCCAGAGACCGAUAGCGCACAAGUAGAGUGAUCGAAAGAUGAAAAGCACUUUGGAAAGAGAGUUAAACAGUACGUGAAAUUGUUGAAAGGGAAGCGCUUGCAACUAGACUUGCACGCUGUUGAUCAUCUGAGGUUCUCCCCGGUGCACUCGGCAGCGUUCAGGCCAGCAUCGGUCUUGGUGGGUGGAUAAAGGCCUUGGGAAUGUAGCUCCUCUCGGGGAGUGUUAUAGCCCUCGGUGCAAUGCGCCCUACCGGGACCGAGGACCGCGCUCCGGCUAGGAUGCUGGCGUAAUGGUUGUAAGCGACC
rnacentral:rRNA from 1 species